rnacentral:rRNA from 1 species
GAUGAACGCUGGAGGCGUGCCUAAUACAUGCAAGUCGAGCGAAGCGGGGACGGGUGAGUAACCCGUGGAUAACCUCCUAUAAGACUGGGAUAACUUCGGGAAACCGGAGCUAAAACGGAUACCUAUAGAUGGAUCAGCGCUGCAUUAGCUAGUUGGUAAGGUAACGGCGUACCACUGCAACGAUGCAUAGCCGACCUGAGAGGGUGUGCGGCCACCCUGGAACUGAGACACGGUCCAGACUCCUACUGGAGGAGGCAGUAGGGAAUCUUCCGCAAGGGGCGAAAGCCUGCCGGAGCAACGCCGCGUGAGUGAUGAAGUUCUUCGGAUCGUAAAACUCUGUUAUUAGGGAAGCGGUACCUAAUCAGAAAGCCACGGCUAACUACGUGCCAGCAGCCGCGGUAAUAC